UACAGAGGUCUCAAGCGUUGUUCGGAUUCAUUGGGCGUAAAGGGUGCGUAGGCGGCGCGGUAAGUCGGGUGUGAAAUCUUGGAGCUUAACUCCGAAACUGCAUUCGAUACUGCCGUGCUUGAGGACUGGAGAGGAGACUGGAAUUUACGGUGUAGCGGUGAAAUGCGUAGAUAUCGUAAGGAAGACCAGUGGCGAAGGCGGGUCUCUGGACAGUUCCUGACGCUGAGGCACGAAGG
rnacentral:rRNA from 1 species